GUUCGAGUUGUAAUUUGAAGAAGGUAACUUUGGAAUUGGCUCUUGUCUAUGUUCCUUGGAACAGGACGUCACAGAGGGUGAGAAUCCCGUGCGAUGAGAUGUCCAAUUCUAUGUAAAGUGCUUUCGAAGAGUCGAGUUGUUUGGGAAUGCAGCUCUAAGUGGGUGGUAAAUUCCAUCUAAAGCUAAAUAUUGGCGAGAGACCGAUAGCGAACAAGUACAGUGAUGGAAAGAUGAAAAGAACUUUGAAAAGAGAGUGAAAAAGUACGUGAAAUUGUUGAAAGGGAAGGGCUUGAGAUCAGACUUGGUAUUUUGUGUUCCUUAUCCUUCUUGGAUUAGGUUCCUCACAGCUCACCGGGCCAGCAUCGGUAUGGAUGGCAGGAUAAUGACUUUGGAAUGUAGCUUUGCUUCAGUGAAGUGUUAUAGACUUUGUUGAUACUGCCUAUC
rnacentral:rRNA from 1 species